UCAGAACUCACAGCCUGUGACUGACCAGUCAGGGGUGGGUGUGGGGGCUUGCUCUCACAUGUUUCUCAACCCCGUGAGCUUAGAGAACCGGACUGGUCAACGUUUAACCUCCAAGUCCCUCCAAAACACAGUUCCCACAAAGCACUGCUCUCAGCUAAAGCUCACUGCUUGCAGACCAAGGGUAAGCCUUCAAUAGUCUACCUAGGCUUGCUCCACGGCCUCACCUAGCCACGGACACCUCUGUGCUUGGGUCAGGUCUCAGGAAGGUGUGGCAAGAUCUGCUGCUUGCUUUCUGCCUGAGAAUCCGUAGCCGGUGCCGACUGGAUCAGGAAGGUGUGGCUGAGAUGUUGGUCUCUGACAAGUGAUUAAUCUUCCUGGAGGAAUGGGGAGAUGUUACAUUGAUCACACGGAGGCCAGAAUGUCCCUCAAGGCAGAAACUGGUGCCCAGAAGGGACACUGCUACACGUAGCUGGAUGGAAUCCCAACUGAUACAGCAAGCUGGAGCAGGGGCCUCCAAACCUACUGCACAUUAGAACUACCCAGGGGGCUUUGCAAAAGCCCGCCAGCCAGAGACGCCAUUCCAUCAGGGCUGAUGUUUCUGGUCGCUGAACCUCACUUGGAGUCAUCAGGUCAAGAGCAUCGAGAGGUCUUUCGGACUUCUGCAAGAUUCGCUACCAUGAGCAUCACCAACACAUUCGUCUUCUCUGUCCAUCUCUUUGUCCUUCUUUUUAAUUCUCCUUUUCCCUUCCUUAUGGGCCGUCACCUUCAGACUUACGGAGCAGCUUCCGCAGACCAGGCACUAGAUUCAAGGAUCCUGGAGUUCCAUCUCACACUGAGCUCACAGCUGCCUACGGUCACAAAUCUUCAGAACCCAAAGAGAAUUCCGAUUUGUCUGGGUAUCCUGGAUGCACACUGGGGCACGGGUCCCAGGCAUCUAUUUGCGCUGAUGAUUUAAUUGAGCUUUUGAAACGUGACUGGGCAAAGCUGAUGAUCCAACCAAGGUAUCAGAUCAUUGGCUUCGUGGAGCCAUUUAGUACCUGCUAAGAAACUGCAAGGGAGAAGCAGAUGCCUGUGGCCAGAUGCUCAGAAUAGGCUCUAGAGGCCAUGCAGGAAGUGGGAAGUCUCAGCCUCACAUUCCCACUCCCGUGGCCUGCUUGUCACCCUGCUGUCCCUGCCAUGAUGGACUACAUGCCUUCAAAUGGAGCCUCCAUAAAUUCUCCUUCCCCUGAGGUGCCCCUUGCCAGAAAGGGAACCUGGACAUGGAUAUGUGUUCUCAGAGACCGCCACAUGGAGAUUGAGGCAGACAUCACGAAGAAGCUUCUACAAGUCAAAGAACGUCAAAGAUCACCAGCAACCCUUCAGAAGGGAGGGAGAGCCUGGAACUGACCCUUCGUCAAGUCUUCAGAAGGAACCAACCCUGUCUACACCCCGAUCUUGGGCUUCUAGCCUUGGCAGUUAUGAGACAAUGUUCCUAUUGUGCGAGUCAGUGUGUGGUACUUAGUAAAUAAACAUGUAAAGCAACAUGCUUUG